CGUAUCACCCAAGACAACUUUGCGGAGUUGACGAUUGACGGAGCGAAGCGACGUCAAAGCGUUCAUUAAAGUCGAGUUGGCUUAGGGAUACGUUCGUUGGGUAGGGGAGCGUUCUGUAAGCCUGUGAAGGUGGCCUGUGAGGGUUGCUGGAGGUAUCAGAAGUGCGAAUGCUGACAUAAGUAACGAUAAAGCGGGUGAAAAGCCCGCUCGCCGGAAGACCAAGGGUUCCUGUCCAACGUUAAUCGGGGCAGGGUGAGUCGACCCCUAAGGCGAGGCCGAAAGGCGUAGUCGAUGGGAAACGGGUUAAUAUUCCCGUACUUGGUGUUACUGCGAAGGGGGGACGGAGAAGGCUAUGUUGGCCGGGCGACGGUUGUCCCGGUUUAAGCGUGUAGGUGUGUGUUCCAGGUAAAUCCGGUUCACUUUAACACUGAGGCGUGAUGACGAGGCACUACGGUGCUGAAGCAACAAAUGCCCUGCUUCCAGGAAAAGCCUCUAAGCAUCAGGUAACACGAAAUCGUACCCCAAACCGACACAGGUGGUCAGGUAGAGAAUACCAAGGCGCUUGAGAGAACUCGGGUGAAGGAACUAGGCAAAAUGGUGCCGUAACUUCGGGAGAAGGCACGCUGACACGUAGGUGAAGUGAUUUACUCAUGGAGCUGAAGUCAGUCGAAGAUACCAGCUGGCUGCAACUGUUUAUUAAAAACACAGCACUGUGCAAACACGAAAGUGGACGUAUACGGUGUGACGCCUGCCCGGUGCCGGAAGGUUAAUUGAUGGGGUCAGCGCAAGCGAAGCUCCUGAUCGAAGCCCCGGUAAACGGCGGCCGUAACUAUAACGGUCCUAAGGUAGCGAAAUUCCUUGUCGGGUAAGUUCCGACCUGCACGAAUGGCGUAAUGAUGGCCAGGCUGUCUCCACCCGAGACUCAGUGAAAUUGAACUCGCUGUGAAGAUGCAGUGUACCCGCGGCAAGACGGAAAGACCCCGUGAACCUUUACUAUAGCUUGACACUGAACAUUGAGCCUUGAUGUGUAGGAUAGGUGGGAGGCUUUGAAGUGUGGACGCCAGUCUGCAUGGAGCCGACCUUGAAAUACCACCCUUUAAUGUUU
rnacentral:rRNA from 1 species